rnacentral:SRP_RNA from 1 species
UCGUGCUAAGCGGGGAGCUAGCGGUGCCCUGAACCUGCAAUCCGCUACAGCAGGGCUGAAUUCCUUUUCUGCGGCUUAUCUUUUUUGAGGCUGGCUUAUGCAAGUGGCGAUGAAGGUUGGGUCCUACGCAACUUGAAAGGGCUGAACCCCGUCAGGUCCGGAAGGAAGCAGCGGUAGGCUACCGGAGAGUGUGCCGUAGGGUUGCCUGACUGGAGCUAACUACAUAAGUAUCGCUUGGGGAAGAAAGUCAAGGUUAGGUGCACGA